UACGGGGGGGCAAGCGUUGUUCGGAAUUACUGGGCGUAAAGGGCGCGUAGGCGGCCCUCUAAGUCCGGCGUGAAAUCCCCAGGCUUAACCUGGGAACUGCGUCGGAUACUGGAUGGCUUGAAUUCGGGAGAGGGAUGCGAGAAUUCCAGGUGUAGCGGUGAAAUGCGUAGAUAUCUGGAGGAAUACCGGUGGCGAAGGCGGCAUCCUGGACCGACGAUUGACGCUGAUGAGCGAAAGCUGAGGGGAGCAAACGGGG
rnacentral:rRNA from 1 species